AUCGAUUUCCUCGUGUAUCUACCGCAAGCCUUACCAUCGUAAUAAGGCGUAACCAAAUGGUCACAGAGUUCAGGCUGGAUCAUAUUAAUGGAAUCAUAUGCAAAUAAGUACUAAACACAAUAAUCCGGACGGAAAACACAUUUCCACAUUAAUAUCAAAGCAGUUAGUGGUAAAUCGAUUUUACCUCAAACUCUCACACAACCGAAUAGUUGAAAAGAAGAUCAAGUCUUAGGAUGAAGACAUAGUCAAAGAAAACAAAACUGGAAAUGUAAAUUUUGAAAAACAUCGCCCAGUAGUACUAAUUUAUAUGACCACAUGGUGGCGAAGGACGACUGUAAUAGUAAAAAUAAUAAUAAAAAUAAUAUUAAAAUCCUCCCUGCCUCGUGCCCAUUGCUUCCGGGAUAGGCUCCGGACCCCCCGCGACCCAGUAGGAUAAGCGGUUUGGAAAAUGGAUGGAUGGGUAUUAAAAUCCUAUAUAUUAUUUUCCAUAAAUGUGCUUGACUUGAGCUAUUUCUGUAUAACAGUGCUUAUCGAACAAGGCUGACGUUAGUUUCUUAUUCGGUAGAUUUUUCUUCGCAGUCGUCAUAAUGCAUGUUCUGCCAUGCUGACAGCUAUCUAUUUUGCCAGUGUCAUACUUAUGUUAAAAAUCUCAGUACCAUGUGAUACAUCAACUAUGUCACUUACAAUACGUUGAGUUUGAAAAUACUGUAUUGCAGGGUUUCUAAAAUAAUUAUCUCUGAAGUUGGUACUCUUGCACAAUGCAUAUCCUAGCUGCCAUAUUAACAGCAGUUUACCUUAUCAGUGUCAAUAUGUCUGUUUGAAAGUUCAGUAUCAUCUGAUAUACUGACUAUUACACUGACUAUUACAUCCCGAGUUUGAAGACAUUUUACUCCAUCGAUUUUAAAAUAAUGCUCUCUAAAACUGGUACUUUUUCUAUUAAAACCCAUUGAAAAACAAUGCAUGGUCUGCAUUUCGAAAAUGCUGUCCUCUGAACUUUGAGUUUUAUACGGCAAGCAGACACAGGGGCGCCGCUAGCAAUUUUGGGCCCUAUGACAAAAUAUGAGGUUGGGCCCCCCUACCACACCCAUUCAGAUCUCUGGGGGCCCCUAAAGGGCGUGGGCCCUUAGAAUUGUCCCAACUUUCCCCCCCUUAGCGGCGCCCCUGAGCAGACAUAAUGCAUAUCUAAAAAAAAAAACCUCUAACAUACCUUCAACCUCCGAAUAUUGUAAGUGUCAUAGUUGACGUAUCACGUGGAACUGAGCUGUCUAACAGACGUUUUGACAAAAAAGAUAAAAUGAGUGAGAAAUAACUGUUUCGGUAAAUUUAUUUCUGUAGCUUGUCGGUUUUUGUAUGACUGCUGCAGGUUCCCAUUUAUUUAAUCUGUUUUAUCACUUCGUCAUAAAGUCAAUCUAUACUUUAAUCUCCACGGUCUAUGUUCCCUACACAACCUGGAGGUAACAACACAUAUGUUGAAUCUAAUCACCAUGGGUUUCCCAGAUGUGGAUCCUAAAGUUAUAAAAGUUCUUUUAUGAAAUUGUUCAAAGGAGUUACAGAACGACCCGAGAGGAGAAUGCGGAGCAGAAGCAGGAGGGCAGAAUCAUCGCUCGCAUGAGGAGGAGGCUUCCCUAUGGAAGACCAUAUCAGACUGAUAUCUGAAGAGGAAGACGCCGUCUUGGAUGGAAGACUAAUGUGGGUAAUCCAGUCUCCAACAGCCCAUAGCAUAUGCUAGGGCUGCACAAUUAAUUGAAUUUUAAUUACGAUCACGAUUUUGGCUACCACGAUUAAAUUAAGAUGAUCGUCGGCGAUAUUAACAUUUUUAUAGCGGGCUCUGCUGCAUAUCAAAUCAAGCACUUUCUCAACCAAAAGUCAGCCAACCACCAGGGGGCGAACGAGAGCAUAGACUGUAUGAGCGGCAACCUUAAAUUGUGACAAAGUGAGAUGUAAUGUUGGGAGCAUUGUCAUAUGUUUUUGUGCUUAUUAAUUUAAGUAUUUCCAAAGGUUAACCGUAAUCCCAAAACAGUGAUAAAAUAAAAGCCUUGCUUUAACAUAAAUAUAAAAAAAAAUAGAUCGCUUUAAUCGCUAUUACAGUUGGGUAUGGGCACGCGGUCUUAUUUAGAAAAGCUACAGAGAGAGACGCAUAUAAUGUUUAUUCAUUCGUUUUGUAUUUGUAACAAAGCAAAGGAAUGAUUAGCGGCUUCAGUCGAAAACUGCAUUUUACUUCUCAUUUCAAAUAAAAUGCAUGGUUGGCAACUUUGGUCAGCUGCAUGGAGUGAGAUUUUCUGUUCUUUGUUCUACACAUACAUUUACAUGCAUGUAAGUUUUAUUACCUUGUAAAUAGUCUGUAGGGUUUACAAACUGCCGUAACGUUUUUGAUGCAGCUAAUUUUAAGUUCAGAAUGGAAUAUAGAUUUGCCUUAAGAUUUCUUGCGUGAGAGUCUGAAAGAGUACAUUUUGAACGCGUACAUUUUUUGUUUAACCUGAAUUGAUUUAUAUAGAAAACAACAGCAUAGAGUUGUUAAAAAGCAGAAACUUCGACCAACAUGAAAUCGCCAAUAAACGAUUUCUAUUUAUUCAACAUUUUAUAAAAUUCAUACUACGCUUAAAAAAUUCCGGCUUUACGGACAGAACAGCCACUUUGUUAUAAACAUUACGGCUUUUUGAGUGUUGUUACCUGCUCUUAUUAAUAGGGGGUAAUCGACGUUACCUGCAAGAUCGCUAUUUUUCUUUUUGCUGCAGUUGUUUUCAUUAUUACUUUAUUUAACUUGACACACCACAUCCUUAAAUUCUCAUCCUUGCAUUAGAAUAUAGACCAGUUAAUAUUGAUGGUGACUCAUGCUGCGUCAUAUAUUUUUAUAAUUACUACACACUGAAUAUUGAACUGUAGCUUGACAUGAAAAAUUAAAUCGCAAAUCAAAUCGUAAUCGCAAUGUCUGUCAGAAAAAAUCGCGAUUAGAUAUUUUCCCCAAAUCGUGUAGCCCUAUCAUAUGCUUUAUUCCUUUUAAACUGAGAAGUCGGAAUUUCCGAGUUACUAUUCCUUCCCCUCUGAAAUUGGAAUUCUGACUCAGAAAGUUGGAAGAACCUCUGUAAUCCUGACCCCAGAAUUCAAGGUGACUGCACCCAACAGAACUGAAAGUUGUAGUUUUAUACUGUUUAUCAACACUUAUGUAUUAUUUGUGUUUGCUUAAAUUGGCUGUACACACAGUACUGUCCAAACACUAUCUGUGGAUUUGUUACUACGGUGUUUGUGUGUGCCAAAUUAUCACGAUCGUGGAUUGCGAGUAAGGCGCACGGACAGGCAGGCAGGCAAGGAAGCAGGCAAGACAGGCAAGGUACGGGGGAAACGGAGAUUUAAUAAUAAUACGGGGAGCAGGAAACAUCGGACGAUAACAUCAAUGACGGACAAGGAACCAUGGCAAGACGCGGACUGAAAUACACAAGACGGAGCAAAAUAACUAGACAAGAUCAGGGAAGCACACGUGGAUAUUCAGGGGGCGUGGCACACACGAGGAUCGUACGAGCUGGGCGUGACACAAAUACCGUCUAAUAUAUUUUUAUCAACUGAUACUGGUAACAAUGGCUAACCAUGAACCUGGCUAGAGCUCGGUCUGUUUCAGAAAGCAGGAUUUCUUGCUUAGCCAGACAACUUGUUGUAUUUAAGGCUGUCUGGGCUAAAUCAAUGUAAGUGAACAGAGAUAAAGGCUAUUUAAACUAGCCUUAAAUCAAAGUCAAGUUAUCCAGCUAAGCAAGAAAUCUUUUUAAAGCUAUUACUAAACUGAUUUCCAACUUGUCGUAUUUAAGAGUCUGGGCUAAAUGUAAGUGAAGUAUAAAAAUGCCUCUGUCAUCUUUCUGGUCAUAUACCAACACUGUAUGUGUGUGUGUGUGUGUGUGUGUGUGGGGGGGGGAGGUGUCCUGCUAUGUGAUCCACUGUCCUUUGUAUGCAUUUUUCCUCCUCAUCUCACAGGUCUUUUUUUCCCCCAGAUUUUUCUUAUCAGAGGGAAGGGUGAAGAUUUCUCAAGUGAGAGUGAGCCUGACGGUUCUGAUGACCUCUGGAUUUGCAGCACUAAGCUUUCCCCUCAGGACGAAGCUUGCACAGUUGCACCGGUGCUGGGAACCCUCCAAGCCGGCCACAGCGUACCCGGACGCGUGCUCCAGCUUCCAGGCACCGGGUGUGAAGCUUGCCUCAUACCCACGACGACCCCCAGAUUCGUCACACGUGCUGCCCAGGCCUCACCCCCAUCACUGCUACUACUGUGUUGGUUUGAACUACAUUGUGGGGACUGAACACAGUCGCUAUGAGAUGAACCCUCCUGUGGGGUCAUUUUUCAGGUCCUUAUAAUAUAAACCUCCAUUAUAUAUAUAUAAUAUAUAUAUAUAUACAAAGGAGACCAACCUACCUCAGCACGCCGUGAAGUAUUGAGCCGAAUGUUUACGUGCCAUAUGUGUUUCUUUGUCUCUUGUCUUCCCGAUUUCCCACUCCCACUCCGUUUGCCUAGUGUGUUCUCCUUACCUGCUUCCCUUUCCUUCCCCAGAUCCGCUCCCGCUCCUGACCUGCCUUCCCCGCCGAUACCGGCACGUCCCGUUCCCUCUCCACUGUGUGCUCCUGUCUCGUGCCUGCUCAUAGGACGGAUUCCCUGGGGAUUCCCCAGCGCUCCUUAAUCGGCCACUACCCUUGCUUGCCCCUACGAUUACCUUUAUUACUCAUAUCAGCUGACACCGGACCCUAACACAGCACACAGACACCUGGAACAGGAAGGUGACGUGGAGAAGAGUGGCAGCCAUAUACCGUCCAGAGAGAUUUGACUUAUGACACCAAGUUCUGUGCGAACAGAAUCUCACUGGUCGCUGUUACUGGGAGACUCAGUGGAUGGACAUGGAGCCCUGAUAGGAGAGACUUAUAAAGAAACUGGCAGGAAAGGAGGAAGUCAUGAUUGUAAGCUUGGAGUCAGUGACAAGGCAUGGCUACUGUGCUUUUUCUCCACAUGGUUACUACAUCCAGCGUAAUCAUAAACGGACUGUCUCUACCAUACAGCCCUCAGGUUCCCACAGAGUAGAACUUGGCGACCAGUGCUGUGCCCUUCUACAGAGUCUCCUCUGAUGGACUGACCCUUCUGUACAGAUUCAUCACCUCAUUCACUGAACCCCUCUAUCCAGCUUCUUGGAUUGCUGAAAAAGGUUCAGCAUCCAUUGGAAUGCAGGGAUAGCUCACUGGGCUUGAAGGGCAGGGGGCUUCUUUCAUAAACCGUUUUUAUUAGGAAGUUUGUUUUUAAAACCCACUUGCGCAGUGUU